rnacentral:rRNA from 1 species
AUGAACGCUGGCGGCGUGCCUAAUACAUGCAAGUCGAGCGAACAGACGAGGAGCUUGCUCCUCUGACGUUAGCGGCGGACGGGUGAGUAACACGUGGAUAACCUACCUAUAAGACUGGGAUAACUUCGGGAAACCGGAGCUAAUACCGGAUAAUAUAUUGAACCGCAUGGUUCAAUAGUGAAAGACGGUUUUGCUGUCACUUAUAGAUGGAUCCGCGCCGCAUUAGCUAGUUGGUAAGGUAACGGCUUACCAAGGCGACGCUGCGUAGCCGACCUGAGAGGGGGAUCGGCCACAAUGGAACUGAGAAACGGUCCAGAAUCCUAAGGGAGGCAGCAGUAGGGAAUCUUCCGCAAAGGGCGAAAGCCUGACGGAGCAACGCCGCGUGAGUGAUGAAAGUCUUCGGAUCGUAAAAAUCUGUUAUUAGGGAAGAACAAAUGUGUAAGUAACUAUGCACGUCUUGAAGGUAACUAAUCAGAAAGCCAAGGCUAAAUACGUG